CUUUCAUGUGUGGUAUUUGUUUGGCUUUCCAGUAGGGCUUUUUGUUGAUCACUUCAACGAAAGUGCUUUUAAGAGAAGUACCUUUCUACUUGUUUUGUGUUUGGUAACUUGUAAUGCAGAAAAUUUUUUAGAAAGUAUUUGGUCCCAGUUCAGUGUAAGGACUUCAAGGUAAUUUAUAGGUCUACAUUAAUUAUAGGUCUACGUAAUUCACAUGAAUCUCUAAUCCAUCUAUAGAUUAAUUAUAGGUCUACGUAAUUCACAUGAAUCUCUAAUCCAUCUAUUCUUAAGUAGGUUAAGCUUAAAUAAAAUAGGUAUUCCAUAUAAGCACAAGCUGAAAUCUAGAUUUUAAAGCUUCUUGCAAAAGUACUUUUGAAAGGAGACCUAGGAAAGAGCUAAGCUAUUCGCCAAGCUGGGGCAAACAAAGCCAUCAGGCCCUACCGGAAUAGGAAUGCGAAGGCCUUUCCUUCGAAAGAAGACCCGGGAAAGAGUUAUGCUAUUGACCAACCCCCUUUAACUUAUACAUGAGAACAUUUUUUUUCAACAUUAUCAAACAUAUUCUAUAAUUUCCUUCGAAGAAGUGAUUUAAGCUGGUUAAGUGAUGUUUAUAUAGGUGAUGCCAAAGACACAUGGUUAGCGCCAUCCAUGAUAACAAUGCUUUUCACCAAGAAGAAUAUUGAGAUAAAACGCUAUACAAGCAUAAAAUUCUGCAAACAAAGAUGCGUGCAAACAACAGGUCCAUGUCAUGAUCAAGAGGACUUACACAUACUUUUCUACAACCAAAAAAGAAAAAAAAAAUCAUCUUUUGCUCGAAGAUAUCCUAAAUUGAGAUGCUUUCUUUCUUGUGACCUAAAUAUUGAGGUAAUUUCAAAAAAAAGGAUGGCCAAUGAAACAACAGUUCCACAUCAAGAUCAAGAAAAGGACUUACUUUCCAUACUAUCAUACAAGUAAAAAUAAAUAAAUAAAUAAAUAAACAUCGUUUGCACUACAAAAUCUUACAUUUGGAGUGCCCUCUUCCAACAAAUUGGUCUGCCAAUCAAGAUCAAGAGAUGAUUUUUUUUCUCUCUUUAUAAUGACCUAAAUAUUAAUGUAAUUUCAAGAAGAAGGACGGUAGAUAAAACCACAGUUCCACAUCAAGAUCAAGAAAAGGACUUAGUUUGCAUUCAAUUAUGCAAGUAGAAAAAAAUAAACAUCUUUUGCACUACAAAAUCUAACAUUUAGAGUGCGUUUUUUUCUCUUUAUCAUGACCCAAAUAUUAAGGUAAUUUCAAGAAGAAAGACGGGAAAUGAAACAACAGUCCACAUCAAGAUCAAGAAAGGACUUAAUUUCCAUACUAUUAUACCAGUUAAAAAAUUUUAAAAAGAAAAACAUCUGCAAUACAGAAUCUUACAUUUGGGGCGCGCUCUGCCAACAAAUUGGUUAGAAAUCAAGAGCAAGAGAUGAUUUUUCUUUCCUGUGACCUAAAUAUUAAGCUAAUUUCAAGAAAAGGAUGAGACAAAGGGGGAGUACGCACGUCGAGCUCGAGGAGGAUCCACUCCUUGGUAUUAGUAGCGGUGGACCAGUGGGUGCGGAGAUCGGAGUCGAGGACGUUGGCGGCCUUCUGGGCGGGGGAUUCGCGGGACAUGGCCUUGACCUUGUAGGCCAGGGGCUUCACCCGGGGCUCCAACUCCAUCUCCAUCCUCCCCUUCCCCCCUCUUCUGAACUACGGUUAGCGCACCGGACGAACCCCUCUUCUUCUAUUCUACCAGCUAGCUUCGUCUCCUUCCUACGAUAUGGUUCAGAGAGAGUGAACGAAGAAGCGAGAAGAGAGCGGGGACUCGAUGACAGAAAAACGAGGAGAUCAAGAAAAGGAGAGUUAAUCGACGCCUCUCGAGUCCCCCUCCUCCAUUCAAUGCACACGCUUGCGUAUCGCACGUGCGGUACGUGUGGUAAAACCUAUAGCAAGUGCGAGAGUCCGGUGCGUAUGCAAUGCACGUGAUCUUCUUUAGGAUUUGGCAAAUGUACCAGAGUUCUCGAAGCAUUCGCCCAAAAAAAAAAAGAAAUGAUAGAGUUUGUUUUCAAAAAUUUAGGUGCAACUAGGGCUGUGAAUGGAUUGGGGUGACCCCUCAUCCUAACCUGAUUAGACCUAAUCCAUUCCGUAUUCGAAGAUCUAGGGGCUGGUUCAAAAAUUGGAUCUAAUCUAAAUUCCAAACCGGACAUAUUUGAGUAAAUGAAAAACAAACACAGCCCGACCCAAAUUAAAUAUGGUUUAACCUAAAAAUUGGAAUCACUGAAUGAACUCUUAUUUAAACUAAUUCAUUUUUUUUCAAUUCAACAACUACAUCUCCUUUCAUAUACUUUGACUUAAUUAUAAUUAGACGUUCAUAAUUUAUUAUUUGUUUUGAUGAAUUUUAACCCCAAAUAUGCAUAAAUACAUACAUACAUAUAUAUAUUAGAAAUUGUAGUUUAUAAACUUUAGAAUGAUCACUUGCUCAGAUAAAAUUGAAAGUUGUUGAAUGAAAAAUCAAUUUUAAAUUAUUUUUUAGUUUUUAUUUAUAUUCUUUAGUGUUUUAUAUUUAAUUAUCAGUUGCUAUAUUUUAGCUAUAAAAAAGUAGCUAGAUGUUUGACUUCAUUUGCAAAUCUGAUCUGACCUUGUCCCUAUAUAAAUCUAUGUAUUUUCGGGUUGAGUCCGAGUAUACUUGACCACGACACAGCUCCAAUGACCCGCUAGAUCAAAUUCUUUAUGUUGAUCCAACUUGACCUGAUCCAAUCAGGUAAUAGGUUAGUUACAAGUCCAAAAAUAUGACCCAAAUAUGAAAUUAGAUCGGGCUGAAGUCCAGCAUAUCUUAACCUGAUCCGACCCAUUUGCAGCUUGAGUCGCAACUCAAAGAGUUGCUUUGAGCUCUCAUUCAUGUGUGCAACAAUGCACGUGAUUUAAAAGCCUGAAAUGCUGAAGGAAAGAGAAAGCAUGCAAAGUAGAUCUCUAAAAAAAAAAAUCUUGAGUUAUAGAAAAAAUAUUAAAAUAAUGGAGUCCAUCACAGUGGAUCUCUAGGAUCGGGAAGGAUAUCUAAUAUUGAAAAAUAUUAAAUUAAGGGAGUCCAAACUGGUGUGGUAUUGAAACAAGUGACGUUCCAUGAUGAUAAAUUUUGUAGAAAAGAGUACAUAUAUAAAUUAAUCUAACCUUAGAUUUUUGAAGGCAGUCCAUAUAUUUUAGAUUGCCUCAUUAGGCGCUAGUAGCCUAACAACUAACAUUCAUGUAGUCACUGGGAGGUCUCAUUGAGUUAGAGUUAGAGCUCCUGUCAUACAUACAUAUGCCUUCAUAGGUUCUUCUUCUUCUUCUCCUUCUUUCCGGGGACAGUGAGAGAUGAAGGCCCCUUGUUUAGUGCAUCUAAGUUGGUAGUCAAAACAGAGCAAACACUAAAAAUUAGGUAACUCCAGUAACUCAACUUGCAAGCUAUUAAAUAUACAAACAUAAAUGAAACAAAGCGUUAAUCAAGUGUGCAGUAAAUUGUAUCCUUGUUCCUUGAAUUUACAGUGUGCUAUAAGAUAAUAUCUUAUCAUCACGUACAAAUUAGGUUCAAAGUUUGCUUUCAAAGUUCAAAGCAAGAGAGGGAUGUUCAACUCCAUGAGCCUCAGCCUUGAUUUCGAUCCAUGCAUGACUAUAGUAAGCCUACUCCCUCCGAUCUCAAAAAAAUAAAAUAACGAAAAGAAAGAUGAGAAACACAAAAACUUGCAAGUAGCAUCAAAGUUACAUCAAUGAAAAACAAGAAUUGGUUAGCAAAUUAAAUAAUAAUCCAUAUGGAACAAAAAAAAAAAAUGUGAAGAAAUUCAAAUGCUUUGUUAAUAGCUUUGCCUCGACCACCUUUCCCUCAUUUAAUCGUGUUACGCAGCAAGAACCUGCAUUAUUCACUAGAUCAAAGUCUUCAAGAAAAUUUGGCCCUCACAAGCUUUGAUCACUAAGCAAAGUAAGAUAUUAUAUGCUGGUAUUGAAGCAUAUCUAAAAGGAACUAGCUCUAAUAAUCUUUUGACAGCGUUACAACAAUUUGCGGCCAAGAUAGACUUAUUCCAAUGGCAAGUUUCAGGGCAUACUCCAAUUUGGUAGUUUCUACCGUCUGUUCAUGGUUGAGCCCUGGGCUUCGGCAACAAAAUUAAAAAGCUUCUAACACCCAAUCAUUUUAGAUGGCACUUGCAUCUUUUCUCUUACUAUGGUUGCUGGUAUAAAGUUAGCUGAUGCGUACUCUUUAAAUCCCUUCAUUGCUUCUUCUCUAAGAAAAUAAGUUUAUGGGACCUUCUAUCUCCAUGCUACAUUGUUCCAUCAAAUUUUAACCCAUUAUGAAAAAUUUCUUAUUGCUGCCUCCCUUAGGAGUCUUGGUCGUGUCUCAAUCCUGAUGCAAUUGAUCAUCCUCUCAAACUAGCUACUGAUCAUUGCCUUGGUAAGUUAUUACCUCACUAAUUAGCUAAGUAGAUGCAAGCCUUUUCUCGGGCAGAUUCCUCCUUUUACUCCUCAGCCUGCAAGUAUUAGCAAACAAAACUUUGAAUUUUGCCGAGAAACCAAUUUUAGUCUCAAGAUUUAAUCUAGAAGAGUAUAUGAAAUCUAUAGUAGAUUUUGUGAAAAGAAAUAAACAAAUUACUACUAACACAAGUUAUGCAACUGACGAAUGUACUUUCCACAUUUGAUGGUAAAAUGAGAAAAGAAAGUAGUUCUUUGAAGUCAAAUCAUACAAAGAGGAACUUUAGGGCAUUAUAGUGAAGUCAUCUUUAACAUGUCAUAAUAUGCGAUGCAAUAUAUAAGGGAUUAUUUUUCACUAAAUAUUAACAUGUCUCAACAUUCAUGGACAAUGUUGAUUUUUAAUAUUCAAGCAUCUUGCAUUGUUUUAUCCUAUUUAUGCUAUCUCUAAUUUCAAUUCUAUAGCUUGCAUUAUGUAUGAUACACAAAGCUAUUGACUAUAGAGGGUACUAAUAAUCUCACAUUGGAUGGGAAAGGGAUCUUAGUGGUGCUUUUAUACUUAUGAGCCCAUCCUUGGUGGUGCUUAAUUAGAUACCCAUGCGCUUAUCCACCUAUUAUCUUAAGCUUUUGGGUUGGACUCUAACAAGCUUCUUGGUUGGUCUUUAAUAUUGAUCACCUCAAUGAUAAUCUAUUGACAUAUGACAAUUUAAAAUAUUCACAAUGUACAAAAAUGAAAACAGGAAACUAGGCAAAAUGGUAAAAUUUUCUAGAAAUAGGAUGCAACAUGUAAUGCCUUGUUAGUAUGAGAUUGUAAAACCACACAGUUUGUAGAAGGUCUGAUUGUGCAGCUACAAGGAGACUCGAUUGCUAAUGUUUUGUCUGAGAAGGUAGAAGCUUACAAUUUUCUUCAGAUUGCAAACCACUCAUUCUCAAAUCACAAGAUAAAGCUCAUGUGUCCAUGUUAACACAUCAAUUUGCCCUACAUCUUCUUCGUUAUUAUUCAUAAGAGCUCAUUUGGUUUGCUGGAAGAGGAGAGGGGAUAGUGUGCUCAAGAGAAAAAUAGAUAAAUACCUCAUAUUUGGUUGGAGUUUUCAAAUUAAUAAGAGAAACGAGGAAGUAGCUUUUUCAUAAAAAUAAAAUUUUCAUAUUUUAUGAAAAAGAAAAACCCAUGUAGGAUAUGGAAAAGUCCAAUUCAUACUAGUUGGAAAUUGAGGGGUUUUUUUUCAAAAAUGCCCUCAAGCUUUUAGAUAGAUGGGAUAAAAAAAUUUUCUUUAUUAAGGGUAUAACAGACAUUUUGCAUAACUUUUUUCUGAAAAGUAGAUAUUCAAUCAGAUAUAGGUCAUUUUAUAAUGCGUCACUUUUUCAUGAUCAAUCAAACAUGCAAAAACCAUUUUUUAAGCAUCAUAUAUCCAUGCAUCAGCUUUCCGAAAAAAAUAUUUCAAUGAGAAAAAAUUCUUCAUGCAAACCAAACCAGCCCUAAAGAGUAGAUCUACCACAAGCAAACAAUAGUCAUGACAAAAAUUAUAAAGAAAAAAAAAAGAAAACUAGAGCACCACACAAAGACAACCAAUAAAAAUAAGUACAAAGUAACACAUGCGAAUCAAGAAUAUAGGAUGUAUUAUAGCAAUACCAUGCCACUGAAUGGAGCUAAAACAUAACUGAAGGAGUAUACGUAGGCUAGGAAUGGUUUAUCUAAAUGAAUCUAAGUAAUUAUAAAAAAGCAAGGUUUGUCAUAUGUAACUUCAAAACAAGCUCUGACACGAGCAUCUCCAUGCACUUGUAUGCAAGCCUCUUUGCAUUCCAUAGAUUAGAAAAUUCUUGAAUAGUUUAUAAUAUUAACAUGAAUCCAUCCCUAUGUACUUUGAACCAAUCAACGGAUGCAUCUAGCACAAGAUAUGGGCUAAGACUAGUCUCGUGUUGGAUUAGAGAGGGAUUAAACUCCUUUGAAUCCCAACAAGGUUCUGGGUAUCAUAUCUUCUUAGACUUCCAGAGCAAAACAAUUUGACUUGGGCCAUCUUUCAAGCAGGCCUACUAAAAUCUAUCUGUUUACACAUAUACAAGAUAAGAAGUAUAUAUGACUUUUUGGUUUAAAAAGACAAAUUGUUUCAUUUGGUGCACUCAAUCCAUACCUGAGCCCCUUAUCUUACCAAGGCUUUAUGUUCUUUGGCUCGCAUAAAUACAUGACCGUAUUCUCUAGAAUACUUCAUAUCACUUUAUCCUUUCUUGGUUGGAUUUAUUUUAUUUUUUUUAAAAAAAAAUCCUUCCUUCAGUGCAACCUUAAUACUAUGUUUUGCAUAUAUAAAAACAAGAAUUACUCUUUUCAAAGUAAUCUCAUAACAAUAUCUUCCAACCAUUUCAACAGUCAGUCAUGAAUACUGUAAUGUAUUCAAACUACUAACUACUAAAAAAUUGUAAUUCAAGCAAUUAUGUCCGUGUUUAAAUAUUUAUUUCAAACUCUGUAUGUCUAUCCUCUUUGUUUUCAUACUAUCUUAAACACAAGUGAACAUCAUCACUUCUAUGGCCGAAUUGUUCAUCUAACAGUAAUGUUUGAUGUUUUGGUACUACUAGCAAUGUCAAUACCUCACCAAUAUGAUAGGAAUUAACCUAUUCAUGCAGCAUGAAUGUUACCAACAUACAAAAUACCAGAACCUCACCAAGAUAUUAUCAUACCUGGUGCUCAAAUCCAUGGAUAGCAGUGAUACUAUCUUCCCCAAUCCAGUCUCAUUACUACAUGGCUAUCAAAUGUCAAAUACUUUCUGGUGCAUAUAAAGAUGACGCCUAACAAAAGAAAGAUAACAACCAGUCUAUAGCAUUUCAUAGCACCACUAGUUAUAUAGGGUGAUGGGCUUUAUUUCCAUGAAUCUACAUAAUAUGACUAUACUCUGAACAACUUGGUUGUGCUUGGACUAACUUUUACAACCUUAUCCUUUAAAAGUGUCCACCUUAUUUCCAAUUAGCACCACCCUCUGUUUUCCUCCACCUUCUGCACAAAUUAUUUCACCAAAUAUGAAACUGAAAUAAAAAAUCAUUUCCUCCACCUUAUCCGCGACUUGCAUAUAUUUAUUUAUCAAUCCCAUGAUAUAUCACGAGUAUCAUAUUGAGGCUCCAAUUUGUGGAAACUUUCAGCUUCUCUAUGGAUUAUAUAUUGAAGAAAAGGGAGAGACAAAAAAACACUAGUAGACCCCCUAAUUCAAUGUUUAGUUAUCUAUAAAUAACUAUUUGUAUUGUACCAAAAAAAAUAACUAUUUAUAGAGAUUAUAGAUUAUAUGGAUUAAGGCAAGACAAAAUCUCAUAUAUAGACUUGCAAAAAUAUAUGUUUUCUCUAUAUUCUCCGGUGUGGAACUAAGCUUAGAAAUAAUGGAGGAAAGCUAUAUCUAACCUUCUAUAGGCUUUCUAUUAAUGGUGGACCUAGUUGACAAAAAAUGACUAUCGGUUCCCUAAAGGUUCAAGUCCCACAAAGAUUAUGAAUCUUGACACCAGUUUAGAUUGACUAACCCAAUUUAAGAAAAUCGUUGUUAUUAAGGCUAGAAAAAUAUUGAACUUAGGAUGUUCUGAUUCGAUUAAUUUUAUAAUCUAAUGAAGGCAGAUUCUAGGGCCACAUCAUUAAUGGAACAAAAUCUAAUAAAAAAAAAAUCCAAUUGGAGAUAAGUUGCCAAUGAAUAUCAUAGAGUAGGUCAAAACGAAAGAGAAGUUAGACAUGAUCCGUGCACCAUUUUUUCACAUAUCUUGCUCACCUGAUAUGGUAUGAAUAUUUCGAUUCAAGAAGAUAUAAUUUUGCCGGUCGAGCUCAUCUAUUCUACUAUAUGAUGCAAACUCUCUUAAUUCUCCAUUUAUGAUGCAUCUCCUUCUAUUUAUGUUUCGAUAUAAUUUUAGUAACUAAAGAUUUUGUGAGGCCCACAUAUUUUAAAGAGCGAAGGACAUAAUAAAAUAUUUUAGGUUUCUUAGUUUCGAAUGCAUGGACAAACACAUAUCUCAGGUUGAUUGCAAUCCAGGGCACAUGUAGUAUUGUCCAUAAAUGCAUAUGCCAAAAAUACAUCUUGCUUGUAUCUGAUCAAGAUAGGUAAACUUUAUAGAAAUAAUCUUUUCUAUAUUAAAACAUACAAUACAUGAUGACGGAUAAGGGUAUUUCAAAUAUCUAUAGAAGCAAAUAUAUACCUAAGAAAUAAGAUAACCUAACCCAAGAUGUGCACAAUUAUGCAGAGAAGUACGGAAAGAGAGCGCACAAGUACAAGAAGAAUAUACUAUAUAAAUAAUUUUUUAUGUUUCAACGAGACUAUGUUUAGGGCAUAAAGAAGUCUAGAAUCCACUUUAAUGUUACGGAUUAUAUUGGUCAAGAGAUUGCUUCCAAUACAAGCUUAGGAAUGCCACCGCUAUAAUAUGGCAUCUCUUAAUCUAUCUUGCUAGGCUAACACCUUCAAUGAUGACAAUCCAACUCUAAAACACUUUUUGGAUGCAUGUCCAAUAGCCUUGGAUCACAAGAGAACUUCAGCAAGAGGAAAUAGGAGAGUAUUAUCCAAAACUCUCUUCUCUUCCUGCUAACAAAAGAGCCUCUUCUACUUGCUUAAUUGGAGCUUUGGUUUUACUAAAUAAUAUUCUAUUAAGCAUUCUUUUGCAAAGCUUGUCUUUGUGGGGAAUCUUAGUAUGACCCUACUUCAAACUAAGCCAACAUAGAUGACAUAAAUGGGCCAAGUGGUGAUUUCGAUACACCAACCUAAUAAUAUUCUACUCAACCGACACGGUAUGCAUGAAUCACUAAAAUUGCAUCGACAAAGUCAUGAUCUGCCAAUCGAUCUCAUUUUUGUCAAACACGAGAUCAUAUUAUAUAGUUCAAUUUGUAUCAUCGAUGUACAUGUAAUUGGUUGUUACCUUGUUAAACUGCUCCUCUGCCUAACAAUGGUCCCAAAAGAGGCUCCAUUGCCACAUGUUAGACAAGGAUUACGCUUUACCCUACCAUAUUUUUCAUUUAUCUCAUGAAUCAUAGCAAUUUCCUUGUGCCAUACAGAAUAAAAUAUUGAGUUUUCCUAUAAUAUGAACAUAUAUGAUAUUUUAUUGUAUAGAAAAAGUGAUCUUGACUAUUCAUUGAUUGAGGGUAUUAUAUAAAACUAGUACAGAAGCUAUCAAUUUUUUUGUUAAAAAAAAAACUCUAGCCUUCUAAUGGACCCAUCGUUCUUUUUUUUGGGGGGGGGGGGGCUCCAUUUGGCUUGGUUGGCGAGAAUGCUUGGUGGUGGUGGAGGCAGCUGUGACAGUGAAAGCGAUGGAGUUUGGUGGAGGCGGUGACGGUGAAAGCCUUAGAGGGUAGCGGAACUUCUCGGCGAUGCUGCCAAGGGAGUUCGCCGGCGAGACGACGAUACCGAUAGAGACGAGGCGUAGGGCAGGCAACAAGGCAUAACCAACAGCCCCGUCGGAAAGUGGUGAGCCUCCGAACUUUAGGAGGUGAACUCCGACAAGCAGGAAGAGGAUGGAGGCAGUAACACGCAAUAUAGUGCAACGUUCGCAGAAAACGAAAGAGUGGAUCCGGACAUUCUCCUGCAUAAAAUUACAAAAAAUGUUUUUUUUUUUUCUAGCUUGACCUCAGAAGCAAGCCUCCAAUCGCAUUUACCAAGUCAAGGUAUAAUAUGUAAGCUCGAUUAAUGUCUAAUAUAAAACCUAGUUUAACUUUUUAUUAUAUGAUUCUUGCGUGUACAUGGCCACGUGGUCCGGCAAACUUUUAAUUUUAGAAUGCGGACUUUUUCUGGAUGACUUCGGAUGAUAAGUAGCCACCAACGAAAAUGAUCUCUAAGGUGCGUGUGUAUGUGUGUAUAUACACGCUUAAAAAAAUUGCUGUCUUCAAAAAAAGAGCGCACACGUGGAGCGAUGAAAAGACUCUCCCAUGAUGAUUGAGAAGAUCCAGAAUUCCGAACAUGCUGCUGGUGGGAUGCGAUUUCUCCACGACAUCCUUCAUCUUUUAGAUGAGUACACCUCUCAUCAAGCUACUCAUAUUUAUAGAGAUGCCAACAGUGCUGUGGAUUUGAUAUAUCCUAUGCAGCUCAUUAUUCUGAAGAUUUUAUUUAGAAGAACCACGUCUAUGUUCCGUCUCCUUUGCAAUUUUUUUCUAUUUUCUGACUUUAUGGGCUGCACCUACAUUCGUUGUGUAUAAAUUGCCAAAUAAGUAAAAAAAAAAAAAAAAAAAAAAAAAGCAUCUAGCACCAGGGUGAGUCCAAACUUGGGCCCGUAAAAAUUGAAGCCUUCAACAUAAUUUGGAACAAGUCCACAAACAUUUUUUUUGAUCUGGCACUAAUAUGGCGUGCACGUUGACUAAAAUUUAUGAUACUAUUCCAACCUAAUCUGGUAGGUAAUUAAGUAUACAAAUCUAUACAUAGGUAGGUAUCUUAAGUAUAUAAUUAACUAUUACUCCCUCUGGGUUGGAGAAUCAGGAUUAAUGAUGGGUUUUAUUGCAUCAUAUUUUGACGAUGACAUAGAUUUGAUACUAGCAGAGGGAUAUUUUGGUGUAGCGUUAGUUUUUCCCGUCUGCGUCUCAUUUUAUAUAUGGAGGAAAUGAAAGCAUGCAUUGAAAGAUCUAUAGCAAAUAUUUACGUGAAUGUAUUUUUCGAUAUAUACGGAUGUAUUUUUACUAGGUUGGUCUAAUAAAUUUGAUUUUAUCAAAAAAAAAACAAUAUGGACUGGAUUGAUGUGAAAACUGAUGUGCACAAAGCUGUUGAUUUGAGCCACUAAGGUGGUAGCCUGGUGGUAAGGAGGUUUGGACUCCACUCGAGUUGUCCGGGUUCGAAACGCGCGAGCGUCGAUUAAAUCAGAGAACCGUAUGCCCCACGUCCGGAUGGCUCUGUGUGGAUAUGUUUUCCUUCCAUCAGUAGUGAGAUGGCGCUGGGGUGACGUAUUCACAUGCAUGUGGAUGGCCCAGUGGGAUUUCCCACGGAUUGGAGAGAGCACGUGGAAACUUGUGACCCGCAUUGAAUAUUUUCUGGUGGAAGGGGGUCCAGUGGAGGCUGCUACGCGGGUGGGUUCUGCCUCUCCCGGCCCCUUCCCUCCUACUUUUCACCAAAAAAAGCAGUUGACUUGAGAAAGAAAUAAAGCUUCUGCCAAAUGGCUAUAAUAAAGCUUAAAACUAGACUUCAAUUAGUUAAAGAACGAUCCAGUGGAAUGGAUCCACGAUUUGAACCAAACUACCAAAUAACUAAACCACAAUGCUUUUUCAAACUAAUGAGUCGACAACGGUAGGUGACCAAACUGGUCCCGCAAGUUCAAUUAUAUAUGAAAAAGGACACCAGCUCGUGUACGAAAAGUUCUCCUAGAGUAUUGAAUAAGAGAAUAUAUAUAUAUAUAGUACGACAAAAUUAGGAAACGUCUCACCUCACAUUCUAUCAAAAAACAGUGUCAAGCUAUCUCCACCCACUCAUAUAUUCUUUUAUUUCCUCAAGCUAAUGUAGAACAGAAUAUCGAGUCAAUUCAAGGGGUUGUUUGAUUCAUGAGGUGGUUGGAUCAUGAUAUAUAUGCCAUCACAGGAAACUGAGUUGGAAGCAUCCCAUCAUAUUUCCAAAGCUUGAUAUUUCUACUGCUAUAUCAUAUAAAAACUAUACUUUGCCAUUUGACUUCUUCAGGCGUAUAUAUAUAUAGUCUAGCCGGAUGAUGUGCCGGUCCUCCAACUUGGAGUUGGGCAGUCUGACCGAGCCAGGCUUCUGUCAUUUUUAAUGCAUGCACGUACCAAAAGAAGAGAAGGCGGGAUAGCCUAUGUCUUAGUUCUCCAUCCAAAAUGUUCUCCUUGUUACUUUACAGGUAAGUUGGCCAUAACAGAAUAUUAAACAAGCAUUAGUUUGACUUGGAGGCACGCUGCACCUAAAGCCUGUAAGCAGCUAUCCAAAAAUACUGUGAGAGAUGUAAAGUCUGACCAAGAGAGCCAAUGCCUCUCUCCCACCAACUCUACCAACUGAAGUUUGGACUGCAAAUAGAAAAAUAUCGAGCUGCCCAGCCGCAUCACUCAUCCAAAAAGAGUAACAUCUAAGGCAUAAUCCAACUAACGCUGCACUCACUCGUGGAAUAGAAAAAACCUGGAUUAGUAGGGAAUCCCACCAGCAGGAACCUCUCAAGAUUCUCUUAAUUUUUUGAGUUGGCAAGUUGUUGGGUUAGAAAAAAAUAAAAUAAUGAAAAAGAUUGGAAGAGAACAAUCCAGGCCGGCCGGGAACUCGGAUCCUUGACAACUAACUGGAUUUUUUUUGUUUUAAAAAAGAAUUACUUAUAUAUAUAUAUAUCUCUCUCUCUCAAGUUUUUAUAUUGUGUAUAUAUAUGAUCCUGUAAUUGCGAAUAGUUUUAUUUUGCACUAAUGUUCUCAUCGUGACAAUUAUUUGUCAGUUAAUACUCAAAUUCUUUAAUGGAAUACUGCAUGCUCCAUGUCAAACAACUUGCUAUCCUUGAUUUAUUAUGAAUCCAGCAUAGCAAAUUGUACUUGUAUAUGACUUGAAAAAAGUUAGCCUAUCUCACCGGUCUAAGUUCAAUUAAUUGGUUGCCAACCUUUUCAUCUGAAAAUAGAACUUAAAUUUGUAUCCAAACAAACAAACAAAAAAAUCUCAAAUCGCGAUGCGACGUCCCUACUUAUUAUUGUUUUUUUUAAAAAAAAAUGUGUCCACCGAACCCCUUGUACGUCUGCCGGAAAGAGCAAGUAAACGCACCCUACUGAGUGGACUUGGUCCUUCCUUGGCUGCGGUAGGAUCACAGUUAGAACGGUAAUCAAUAAUUUAAUAUAGCACAAGUUGACGCUGAGUAGUUUUCAAAUAUCCCCUAGAUAAGUGUGGUUGUUCAGAGGACAGAGAUGAAGCACCGAAAUAAAAGAUAACCAAAGAAGAACGUCAGCUAAAUAAAUAAAACAAGUGAUCCACCUACUCCUCCUGAUCGACAUUGCUUCGCCGGCAGACCCCACCAUAUCCGUUCAAAUGUUUGCGACCCAUUCCACAAUUAGAAGAGAAGAGAUGAGAUGAGAUGAGAUGAGCUGAGAAAGCUCUUUGCUGUCUGAAACCUUACAGCUAUAUAUUAUCAUAUGGCGUUUCUCUCUCAUACUCAUACCAUGCACCAGGACCACCUAUAUCAGUAUAAAAGCUGAGCGAACCCCAUGCCCAAGCCUCCAUUGCCAUUGCCUUCUCAAUCAACUUCACAACCCUUUGGAUCCAUCUCUCCUCUUGAAAUGGCUUCGGCCGGCGAUUCCAGCAGUUUCCAGGUCAAAAUCAUCAGCAAAACCCUCAUCAAAGCCUCCGACACCACAAUCCAACCCUACGUCCUCUACCCCUCCAACCUCGACCACCUCCCUAGCAACAUCCCCAGCCCGUUCCUCACCAUCUAUCCGAAGCCUCCCUCCGGCGGCGACUACUCCUCGGUCGCCGCCACCCUCCGGCGCACCCUCCCCACCUUCCUCAACUACUUCUUCCCCUUCACCGGUCGAAUCAGGCCCGACAGGAACGGCGUCCCGGAGGUCUACUGCAACAACGAGGGGGCCGAGCUCGUCGUCGCCCGCGCCGACAUCCGCCUUGCGGACGUCAAUUUCCACGACAAGUCCAAAUCCUUGGAACGAAUCGAGCUGCCGUACGAGGAGGAAAUCCCGCUCUCUAUCCAGGUUGUGGGCUUCGCCUGCGGCGGCUUCUCCAUCGUGUGGGGCGGCACCCACCUCCUCUCCGACGGCCAUGGCUUGUCUUUCCUUCCUACCCUCUGGACCGAGUAUGUCCGGACCGGCGAGCUCUCGAGAAUUCCCAACCACGACCGGUCCAUCUUCCGGCCCCGCUCGCCGCCCAGCUACUCCCCGGAGACGGACCGCUCCCUUGCAUGCUUGACCCCCGACGAUCUCAUCAACUCGCUCUCCGCCGGCGCCUUCGUCAAGCGGCUCUACCACGUCGACGGGAAGCACAUCGACCGCCUGCGCGAGCUGGCCAGCCGGGAGGGCCGCAGCGCCACCCGAAUGGAGGCCUUCUCGGCGUAUCUCUGGAAAUCCCUCGCGAAGGCCGUCGGGGACUCCGACGUCGGCUGCCGCAUGGCGUGGCUGGUCGAUGCCCGGCAGCGGCUAGGCCCCAAGUACACCGAGGCCAUGAAGGAUUACAUGGGGAACGUUAUCACGUUCGCGACGAAAGAAGCCGGCGUGGCGGAGCUCGUGAACGGCUCCUACUCGCAGGUCGCCGGCAUGGUGUCGGCGGCGGUGAAGGAGGUGGCGGACAACGCCGAGGACCACUUCCAGGAGAUGAUAGACUGGGUGGAAGGCCACAAGGUGGGGAAGAGGGCGAACCGGGUUCAGGUCGGGCUCGGUAGCCCGGCCCUAGUGGUGAGCUCCUUCCACCAUAUGAACAUGAACCUGGACUUUGGGCUCGGUCAGGCAGCCCUAGCAAUACCCGAUCUGCCUUGGGGGAGAUUGGGUUCGGCUUUUGUGAUCGUGCUAGCAAGCCCUAAGGGCGACGGCUCCUUGUACAUGAACGCCUACAUAUGGUCUCAGUUAGCCGUCGUGCUCGAGUCGGAUCCGGACCGUGUGUUCAAGCCUGCCACCGCCGAGGGUUUGGGCGUGGUCGAGCCUGCAUCUCAUCAGGUCUGGCUCAGUCGAUUGUAAUGAUCGAGACCGAUAUCGAUGGAUGCAAGCAGAUCUCUACAACUUAAUUAGGUUGCGCAUAAAUUUUAUAGUUUGGAAGCAUGCUCGCUGCAUGAUCGAUAAAAAUUAUUCAUGCAUGCAUCCUAAUCGUAGAAAUUUUCUGCAACUGCAGAUUGAAGAGGAUUUGUAGUCACUCCAAGGAGAAGAGCAAUGAUUGAAGGCGUCCUGCGUGUGAACUUUGAGUCGGUCUGUAACCUAAAAAUAUAAAGCUUUGUUUGGAAUGUUUGGGGACAAACAUUUGUAUUAUUUUAUUGUCGUCGAAGUGUGUAAUUAAUCUUGCCAUCCUACUCGUUUUGGUUAAGAAGUGAGUUCAGGAGUUGUUUUCACUUUUCGGCCAUUGUAUCUUGUCACCGCGAUGGAUAACGUCGAUCCCACGACUGCUUGACGCGCUCUUCCUGGCCCUACACACCAAACAAACGAAAAAAAAAAAAAGAAAGAAAAGAAAAGUUUCACUUGAAUAGGAAGCAAACGAGAGCUCUUCCCUUUCUAUCAUGAGAAAAUGCUCCCACCUUUUCCACUAGUUUGGCUUCCACUGAUACAUGAACACCUGUAGGAUGGCUAAUAUACAUCUCGGGAGGCUGCCUCUGCAAACUAAUACCUACGGAUGCAACGAAUAAGCAUUUGAGGUUUUAAUUUCCUCCAACACUGUAUGUUUUUUUUGUUUUAAAUAUACCUAUUGCUUCUUUCUAGAGAAAAGAAUGUAUCUAUUACCACUUUCUUAAGGAGAAUAUAAUGAUAAUAAUAUUUGAUUUGCUAGCAAAUAGAGUAAGUCAAUGCUAUAGGAAGUGGUAGAGGAGUUGUACCAUCUACGCUCCAUUCAAGAUAGUUUACUUCUCCAAAUUUCCUAAUUGACUGCCGUUAAUUUCCUCAAAAUCUGGCCCUUCUUUCAUUAUUUUUCUCUCUAUUAUCCUAACGAAAUUGGUGAAGCCUUAGCUUUCUCUUCUUUUAUUCUUCUUUUCUUUUUGUUAUCAUUAAAAAAGAAAGAAAGAAAUGAGCUUCCCAUGCACUAGAGAUUGCUAAUGGCACACGGAACAUUGUUGAUCUAUUACAUCAGAGGAAUCUCAAUAAUUGUUGUGUACCCUAGUUAGGAUGUAGCUAACUAUGUGAAGCUCCUAAUAUGCAAGCUCAACGGUAUGACGCUUGGAUCUACCCAAUAGCCGCUCCCGAUUCAACAUAUAUUAGCGUCGUGGCAUAUUUUAAUUGGUUGGAUCUUUUAAUGAGCUAUAGCAAAUUUAAAGACGUACCAAUUAGAAGCACUUAAAUAUUAUUUAUACUAUUUAUUAGAAUAUUCUAUAAUUAAAAUACAGGAGAUAUUUGUAUUCCAGUAAUCUCGCAACUUUGUCGCGCAUUUAAAUCAUGAGGAGUGGUUGGUUGCAAUUGGAGAGAUAAUCCCAUCCAAAACUUGGGUGGUUCGAUAAAGUCUUCUCAGCUAGCUUUCAAGAAGUCCAUUCCGCUACCAUGCAACUUGGGUUCUACUGGAUAAGUAAAAAAAAUAAUUUUUUUUUUUUGGUACCGAAUGGAAAAUAAUUAUUGAUUGCUUUGUGUGCUGCGACAAUUCAGCGUCUCUUGAUCAGCAUGUGUACUUGGAUCCAAUAUUUAACUCAAAAUUAUAAGAAUUUGUUCAAAAGUUUGGCAAGAUCUCCAUUGGUUGUACCUGCGUUAUUUUAUUAUUUCUAAGCAUAAAUUAAUUGCGUUUUUUAAUCUUUUGGUUAAAAAAGAAUGGAUACAGAGGUUAGGUUGCCCGGCGGUUGUUAAGAAGUCUAUAUAUGGUUUCCGUUGAUGAUGGAUGACACCUCCAUUGGAGGACAGCUCUAAUCCUAUCCGGAACCAAAUAAAACAAAGUUUUAUUUAGGUGGACUAGAAAACGUGGCUCAGAGUGCAUGUCUGACUUCGUCACAAAGUUUCCAUUAUUCUUUUCUCAUGGUUUUUAAACCAUCAUAUCUCAUGAGUUAUCAACUAGAUGAAUCAAAAUCUCAAUUUAUUUCAGUUGAUUUAAAGUAUAAUUUUUUAAAAAAAUUAUAGUUUUCGAAAACUCGGUCAAUAUUUAGGAGCCAAGACAUUGGAAUCACGUUCUUUAUAAUAAAUUUGUGAUUAAAAACUAUUUGAGCUAUCCAUUGGAAGAUUUGAUAGUUAAAAAAUUAUUUAAGUGAAAAAUGAUUGAAAGUAUUGGUUGAUAUGAAUAUAUCAUUUCCGCUAAGAUCUUUAAUUUUAUCAACUUUUAUCAGCUAGCCUAGAUAGUUGGGCUGAAAUUUGGUGCCCGGUGAUCUCCGCCGCGAUCAUGGCCAUGGUCAAGCCUUACAUUACAUUUGUAGGUUUGUAAUUUUGAGCAAGUCUCCAUUACAUUUUUGGGUGUGCAACAAGAAGACGGACGUGAGAUAUAUGCAUGACAUGCAGACUCCAGUUCAGUCAGUGCAGGCCAAGGAAUUUGAGGGUAGGAAAGGAUGAUAAGCUGCAAUCUUCAAGAGUAGAUAUGCUCUGGAUCACCCUUUCUUAUUGUUCCAGGCGUGUACUUUUCCAUGUUUAACUUGUCUUAUGGCUUUAAAGACUUUAUAAUUUCCUAGAGAGUAGGAUGAGCGUUCGUUACAAAAAAAAAAUUUACUUCAAUUCCAUGCAUGAACAGAUUGCAUGUCCACUCAGUCAAUAUAUGACUCGAGCCAUUACCAUAUUGUUUUCGACCAUAAAAGUUCUGACGUUGUAGACAUGUCAAAAUGUCGCCUAACCUAAAUGGUUGGAGCAUGACCAAUCCUUCGUCUUACAAAGAUUAUCCAUGCUAAGAUUCAAGAUGACCGAAGGACGUACGACUCUUUGCGCUUCAUGCAUGACGUCAAUUUUUUGGUUUGCGGCUGCUCGCCAUGGUUUGACUAAUUAACUUCUCCCCACCAAACCUACCACCCCCGUCUCCCCCCACAAAAUCAUUAUAUUUUGAUAUAUUAUUACUAUAUUCUAUUGUAUUUUAUAUAAUCAUAUAUUUAUACGAUCAACGAAUCAAAAUUAAUUAAUGAUGGAGAUCUAAACCAUUGAACAUGAUCUAUAUUGCAAAAGAUAUUUGAAAAUCAAUGUGAUUAUCAUUUGUUCUUCAACCAAUUCAAACCUCACUGUGAUUUGGACAUAAGUUUGGAAUAUCAUGGUGAUUAUAUUCUUAAAUACAAGUGGGCAACAAUUAUUGAGCUAAUUUCUUGUUGGUAAGACAGUGAUUGGCCGGUCCAUCGAAUCCUACACCAAUGAAAACUGCCAUGAUAGCGAUGCCAAUAAUCGUUAUUAUAACAGGCAGAGCAAUCCACAGUUGAAAGUCGAAUAGUAGCAGGCAUAGGAGGGAAAAAAAAAAAAACAAUUAUCCCCUUUGCUGGCUGCGAUUGGAAAUAAGAGCAUAAACAUGCCAAAAUCUAUACAAUACGUUAAAGGAGAGCCCGUGGUCUUCCGGAACAACAAGUGUCACAUUGAAGUUCGCCCAGAUGUCGGCGUCAGAGACAUCCACUUGGCGCCAUCCAACUAGUUUGAAAAGUUCGGAGUUUAGCAUUCUGUCACACCGAAAGAGAUCACUCUGCACCAUACCUUGAACAAAAAAAGAAGAGAACAGUGCCUAUCUUAAUGAAUGAACCGUGGAUUGCCCUCCCUCCUCCAUACUUGUCUGAAUGAAAUGUGAACCGUCUACCUUGCCUCCGGAGUAUGUAGCCCAUUGAAACAAGAAAAAAAACAAAAACCAGAAGAAAAAAAAAUGGAGGAAACACUACCUGUCUUAAUGAAUGAACCGUGAAUCGCCUUCCCUCCUCCAUAGUCAUGUGUAGCCCACUAAAAAAAAAAAGAGGCAGAGAACGAAAAAAUAAAGGAAACAGUACUGUCUUAGUGAAUGAACUAUGAAACGUAGUCUACUGAAAUAAGAAAAAAACAAAAGGUAGAGAAAAGAAAAACGAACGGAAUCAAUCUACAGGCAAGCAUGAUUGUGCCAUCACGCCGGCAAGCGGAUGUCUGCGGUUACCUCGCCUCACCGUAGCUGAGGCAGAUGACGACUGUAGCUGUACUGUCUUAAUGAAGCAAGAAAAAAAAAGCAUAAAAAAUAGAGGAGAUUAGUUUGCAGGCAUGCAUGACCGUGCCAUCCCGUUUGCAGGUGGAUGUCUGUGGUCACGUUGCCAUGCCUGCUGCAGGCACGGUCACUCCGUCAUCCUGGCCACGGUGAGGUGUGGAGAUCACUGCUCCGUUAUGUUGCUACCUAUAAAGCAUUGUGACCACAACUUAUUUCUUCUCUUCCGUGUCCCUUUCUCAUCAAAAUAUUGAAGGGUUGCUGCAGGAGACCUGCAACCGUCCUCUUCUCGUGUCAUCGUCUGAUAAAAGGAGGACACCGUUGAUCUAAAAUAUAAGUUUUUUCCUCUUCUUCUUCCUUGCCUAGGCUGAAACAUUGGGGGAUUUCUGCAAAAGAUUCGAUAGUCAUUAACUUCCUGUGUUGUGGGCACGAUAAAGGAAGGGGAGGAGGGAGGAAGUGGUGGCACUGUAGCAGGGGGUAGGAUUUGGAGGAGGGAGAUGAGCAUAGGACGAGAGAGGGAAUGAGCUGGAGCAGCGUCAAGAGAUAGCAGUGGGUAGGGGUUGGAGGAGGGAGAUGAGGAGAGGAUGAGAGAGGGAAUGCGCUAGAGCUCUCUGGAAGUUGCCUGGAAUUCUAGAGAGCUCACAGAUUUUAACUUGUACCGACAGAGAUCUCAAAGCGAUCUGAUGGUGGGGGCGAAUCAAUGUAUCGAUACGGGCCUCAGAGUGUUGGUGUAUGGGAUACGAGGAGAGGGUGAGAGAAGAAAUGAGCUGGAGCUCUCUGGAAUUCCAGAGGGCAAUUCAACGGCAAGGAGUCAACAUAUAGGUACGGACUUCAGAGCGUUGCCAUAGCCGAUAUAAGAAGAGCUAGAGAGAGAGAGAACAGAUCUCAAAGUGAGCCGGGAGUGGAAAAUACCAGCACGGCUCUCAAAGCAAUCCAGGGGUGGGUGAGGGAAGAAAGCGGAGCUCUUUGGAAUGUUCUGGAGAGCUCGAAGGGUUAGGUUGUAUCGACAUGGAUCUAAAAGUGAUUCAAUGCUAAGAGCAAAUUGGCAGAUGUGGGGAGAGGAAGGGGUGAAGAAAAUAUCAGCACGAAUCUCAAAAUGAUUUGGUUGAGAGUGGGAGAUUGGGCGGUAGGAUCGUGUGGAGGGAGAUGAGAAGAAGCUGAGGUAGAGAAAAAUACCGGCACGAAACUUAGAGCGAUCUGGUGGAGGGGGCCGAUUUGGGCGGUGGUGGACUCUGCUCCACCGAUGAUGCGCGGACCUCCGUGAAAGCCGACGUUGCCGGAGUUUAGGCGGAUCUCAAAGCAUUUUGAUGGGAGAGGGGUGGGGUGUGUAUGAUUGUGAAGAGGAGAGAGAUGAGAAGAGAGCAAGGGUGGCUGGAAAUAUCAGCGUCGAUCUCAAAGUUAUAUGGAUGAGAAAAGGGUGAGUGUGAGGGAAAUAAUUAAAUUUAGAUUUGAAAAAUGUAUUUUUCUUCUUAUUUGAAAAUUUAGUUUUUAAUAAUUUGUUUAAAUAUAAAUGUAUAUAGUUCCCACACAAAUCUUGGAGCUAUAGAAUUUAGCUAUUGCAAUUUUUAUUUAUUCAUUGUAUACUUACGAUUUAGUAUUAAUGUGAUUUAGUACUGAUUCUUUUGAGUUAGAUAUCAUUUACAUGCAACAAAAAUUGUUAUAAUUUGGAAUUGAACCUUGUAUUUUCCUACUCAUUUUAAAUUUCGAUUGUUAAUAGUUUAUUUAAACAUAAAUGCAUAAAAUGGUUGCACAAAUCUCAACUGUAUAGAAUUUAGUUAUUGCGCUUGAAUUUAGAAUUAGAAACUCUAUUUUGCCUCUUAUUUGAAAAUUCAGUCAUUAAUAAUUUGUUUAAAUAUAGAUGUAUAUAGUUGUUGUACAAAUCUUGCAGUGCUAUAGGAUUUAGCUAUUGCAUUUUUUUAUUUAUUAUAUAUUUAAUAUUUAAUGUUGAUAUGAUUUAAUACUUAUUCUUUUGAAUUAGAUAUCAUCUAUAUGCAACAAAAAUUGUUAUGAAGCCGGAAUUGAAAGUUGUAUUUCCCUACUCAUUUUAGAUUUCAAUUGUUAAUAGUUUAUUUAAACAUAGAUGUAUAAAAUGAUUGCACAAAUCUCAAAUAUAUAGAAUUUUGAUAACUCAUUUUUUUUCUAUUUAUUGUAUAUUUUGAGUUAGAUAUCAUCUCGAUGCAACAAAAUUUGUGAUUAAAUAUGUUUUUUUCCUUUAGAUGCUUGGUUGUCAUUUGAUAGCUAAUUUUUCAGUUUAACUAAAAUCACAGAGAUGGUAACGGUGAAAAUUUCAUUAGAGGUCAUGUUGCAAAAAAUCACUAAUAAAUUAAGUCUUUCUAGACCAGUUUAUGAGAUGAAGGUCAGAGCUAAUGGUUGUCUCGGGUCUUAUACAGACAUAGCGCUAGGAUGUGAGGAUGUGUCAUCUAAUAUUGUUAGGAUCUGGGGAUGUUUCUAAAAAGAUCAAAAUGAGUCGGAUGAAAUUGCUGCCGGAUUUGCAAUAAACAAAUUGAAAGAGGAAGUUUAACAUUGAAAUUGAAGAUUUUAAUUUUGAAGAUAAGGAGUAUUAUAAAUAUUUGUAUCAAAGGAUUAAUGCCGCUCAUGACAAUCUCGAGCAUGAGUAUAAACAACUACGCUGCAAAAAUAGAAGAGAAGAUACAAUACAAAAAUCUUAUAGUGUGACAACUGCUGCUUAUGACUGCCUGCACACUGAUUCCCAGAUUGGGUCAUUUAGACUGCAGUGAGAGUUCUGCUGCAGUCUAAGUAGAGAUAAAGCUAUUCCUAGUAAUUGUCACCAAUAAUGUGCAUUUCAGUCUAAAAACAUAUUAAUUAGACUUAAGGGAAAGGUCGAUGGAUGCUGAAGUUUACAAACGGCACGAAAAGAUUAUAUAUUAUAGAAAAAGGCAUAUACAGCAGUAUCAAGACAAACAAAGAAUCAAUGGACUUCAAAUUGACCACUUUACAGAUUAGUCACUCUUACAAAGAAACAUCCCUAGAACACUUAUCUGACCGACUUAACGUAGGAAAGCUUCAAAACAGUUGCACACUUCCGCUUAAGACAGUUAAAUAAGACCCAAUUGAUAAGUACAUAAAACUAAAAGCCAAAUAUAGAUUGGUAAUAUGUAUGCCAGGAUCAUCCCCUCCCUGCUUUACCAUGCCGUUGAUUUCGGAAAAUGCCAAGAAGAUUCUGUGCCUGCAAAACAGGAAGCAAGAUUCACAUCUUAGGGUUGCCGUCGACCAAUUUAAUCAAUUAAUUAGACUUAAUGCAGAUGGAAGGAAUAAAUAAAUAAACAACAGAAAUUAUUUUCACACCCUUUCUUUAAAAUGAAAUUAUUGCAUAACAAAAUAAAUUGCAAUUUUUUAAUCUUAACUCUUAAGCUUUUUAAACCAACGUGCACCAGAUGAUACUGUAUGCCAGUUUCAUAAUAAGAACCCAGUUGCUAUGAUGGCGUAGAGCAAAUUCAAUCCGUAUCAUAUAACAAUCUGAAUAUAUUUUGAUAUUAACCUCACACAAGUAUCAAAUACAAAAUUCAUCCCAAAAUCAUCCCAAUGGCAUAAAUUACUGCAAUACAGCAUGCAAAGGUCCACUUGAGUAAACCAUUCAUAAAAUUCCCUUUGAGCAUAAGGCAGAAACAUUUAGUAGUAAUCCUACAAACCAAAAAGCAAACAAAAUAAAAAAAACAUCCGUCAAUAAACAAAAACAACAUGGCAUAAGUUUGGAUGCAGAUGAAACCAUCAUUUCCUGACUUUAUAUGAUUUUUAAAAUAACAAAUCAUGAUUUUAUAAUACUGGGGCUUGGUUGUGCAACUAAUCUCCUAAAAGUCCAAAGACCAUGAAACUGAAAAUUUCUACUUUGCAAAGAAUUUUCCAAUUUGCACCCUUUUUCCCUCUUCCAUGUAACUUUUCUUCAUUUCUGAGCCUCUACGUUAACAACCAAAGGAACGUUAAGCAUAGCCAUGAACAACAAGUGAUAAUUUACACUAGCAGCAUGUUUUCUUCUGAAUAAAAAGAAGUAAAAGUAAUAUGCAACAUUUUGAUAACAAAUGAAUAUGCAUACAAGUAUGCCUCUCUCUCUAUAUAUAUAUGAAUCAAGGGAUGUCUGUCUCGUUUGUCUAUGCAGGAGUUCCUGAACCUUUUUAUACAAUUCCAUCCAGUUUGCCCAGAUCUUACUCUCCUCUAUUCCAUCCUUUCAAAACUCUCUUUAUUAUCACCUCCUCAAGACCCACAUUAAACAUGACCAGACAAAACCAGGAUUUUACUGAAGCAAGGCAACAUUAAAAACAUUAAAAAUAAUAUUGAACUUUUUGCCCAAAAAAUAUAAUUUGCCAUGGAGAUUUGUAGGACAAUAUAAUGUAAACUUCACCAUAUGAAGCCUUUCACUAGGAGAAGUCAUAAUAAUUUCAUGCAGUGGAGAUCCAAUUUGAUUAUUUAAUUAUUAAAAAAGCAUUUAUUUUUUAAUUAUAUCUAUGCUUAAUUGAAAGUCAAAAUAAAUAAUGGUUAUUAAUAUGUGUAAUUGAUACAGAAGGAUCAUAAAAUCAUAAAACCUAUUGUGCACCAUUUUGGCUACCUCGGGUAGCUCUAGAUAGGUUUCAAGAGUAAAAUUCACCAUAAAGACUGAAUUGCGGAUCAAAACUUCCGGCGGCCAUAACUUCCCUCGAUGAUGUCUGAUUUCAGUGCACUUUUAUUUGAAAUUGAGUAACUUUUGAAGAUCUCUUGGAGUGCGACCACCCCCCAAGGGUUCAUCACACCCUGCUAACAAUAAGGUUUGACGAUGUUUAGGCCUCAAAAUGUGUUAGUCAAAGUAUAAGCUUCCAUUUUGGGAAAGACUAUGACCGGGUAUAUCUUCCAGAAAAGAAUUGGGUGACACAAUAAAAAGCUAAAUUGAUGAGAUCUAGCUCUAGUAAAAUUUUAAUUUUUUCAUGAUUAUUUAUACCAGUCAUUUGCUAUUUAGUAGAAACGGUAACCUCUUUUAAUUAGAAUAGAACUUUGCCCUGGAUUUUGAAAAGGCAAAACUCGCUCAUAUAAAUAAAGGAUCUAUGUGACAAUUCUAUGGCUGCUUUCAAAAAUUCUUAAUAUUCUUUAUUAUUUUAUUUUGGUAGAUUUGAGUUGAGCAUGUUGAAAAAAAUCCCUUCUUCUCCUUGAUUGGAUCAUUAAUUGAAUAAUUAAUUCAAUCAAAAGAUUUAUUGUUCAUCAAACAAAUCUAAGAAGAAGAAACAAGGUAGGAAUUGUGAGCAUUUGCAUUACCUUGUUUGAUGCUAAUGUCUAAGAUCCUAUGACAAUUUUGACGGCGAGAGGGAGGGAGGGAGGGAGGGGGAGAGAGAGAGAGAGAGCAUUCAAGCAUUGUUGCAAAUCAUGUUUGGUCUCUUUAAAACCCAAAUGCAUGCCUACAACAAUUAAUCGCUAUAUAAUUUCUAAAAAUUCUGGCUUGGAUGAAAGGUUCUAGUUCUCCUUCCUAUUUAGUUUAUCCUCUAGAAGGAAACAGGAGGAUAUUUCGAGCACUUUUAAUUUCCUUCUUUUCAGUGGACUUAUGAACUUAUAGAGAGAGAGAGAGAGAGGAGCUUGGUGCAUGGGAUUAGGAGCAACUGUAAGCACUCUAACUGGUAAGGCUAGAAAGAAAGUGAAAGUUAUUGCAUAAAAUUAGAAGAAAGAUUAGAGAACAACCAAACAAAUCAAAUGAGAUUUAUUGCUUUAUCAUACAGAUGGCAUGUUACUAAUUAAAGCCUCCAAACAAGUAAAGACUGGCGCAUUUGAUUUAACCCUCAUAUAUUGGUUUUUCAGCUCAUCCUUGCAAAAGUCAUUAGACAUCUACCUCAACAAUCUAAUCAUUGUUAUAUACAUCUUGCCUUCUCAGAAUCCUUGGACACUGUUAUUUUAAGUAAUGUCCUGAACCAGGUGACUCAAGAUCUUAUAAACCAUGUUUUCCUUUAAACUGUCAAGGAACACACCUAGUAACACUUUUCCACAAAUGCGCACUCAUCAAAAUGUAAUAUCUUCAAAGUAGAGGACCGACUUCAGCACUUGGUUCAUGAAUCACAUGACCAAAGUAAGCAUAUCAAGAAGGUCAUAAGGCAUUACAAAAAUCAAUAGAAGCGUUUUUUUUCAUGAAAGCUAUCUUUGAGUCAUUCAUUCAGAUUGGACAAACAUAAGCAUUAUCUUUCUUCGAAAAUGAUGUGAGACACCGUUGAGCAUGUCGAAUGUGUUGUCUACUCUCUGAAUAAAAAAGAAAAAUAGGGCUUUAAUCUUCUUCACCACUUGGCCAAAUCCACCCACAUGUGUCACAGAGCCUGGCUUGGAAUUAGCACCAAAAAUGCAUGAGAUGAUGCUCACCGACAAAUUAGUUCACCAACACAAGUUCUUUAAAAGCCGCAGAACUUGCCUUUGAAAGCCUUCAGGACAUCCUAUAUUGAGCCUGAUUUGGAAGGACAGCUUCAAAUAUCGAAUAAAUGAAGUGAGAACUUAACUUUCGGGCAACAAAUCUAGUAGAUGCCAUUUAUAGUGAUGCCUCUAAUUUCAGCAAAAAGCAGGCAUAUUUUCAUAUUAUGUCCUUCCAUGUAUUACUAACGGAAUCACAAUCAAAAUUUUUUCUAGCUCUUCCAAUGAUUCUAAAAAAUUAAUUGAUGGUCUUCCUUCUCCUUUUUUCAGCUUGUUCCCCCUUAAAGUAUUUGCAUAGUCCAUGACAAAAGUAUAGGCGAUCUAUUUCCAAUAAACAAUGUGUAUGUAUCUCAACGCCAUGAACUUUGUACGUGAUAAGAGAUCAUAUCUUCAACAUCACAAUCUACAUUAUCAGCAAAAUUCUUUCCAACAAAAAAGUUCAACUUGAACAAAUGAUCAACAUGUCAACAUGUAACUUACAGCCCUUCUUUAGCUAAUAAUCCUAUAAGGAGAAGGAUGUAACAUGGAAAUUAAAUCCAAUGAUUCCACCCUGGUAAUAUAUGUUUCAAUAUGUAUCUGGGCCUAAAAGAAGAACUUCGGGAAUACUUUAUAGCCCAAAGAUGAAUGUAACAGCCUUAAAAUAGACAUUCGCCAAGUAAAAAUGGAACCUCUGUCAUUCAGACACUAUGAAUGGUCGCAUUAUUUAUUCAUUAACAAAAAGAAACAUACAGCAUGCACCAUCCUUUCUUCUGCAUCUUCCCUCCCUUCUUCCUACCUUUCUCCAUGAUUUCUUUAUCUGUGAUAUUCUAUUAGAUGACUAUGAUCAGAUUAUAAAAGGGUAGCAAGCUAAUGCAGCAUUGAAUUUCUCCUAUCGAGGAAACACAAAGUGAAUCUAAAACAAUUUGUCAGACUUGGUAUAUACAUAAUAUUAGACAAACAACAAGGAUAGUGUAUUCAGAAAGAGGAAGAUGUAAGUAUUCAAAUCUAUUUCCAGAUUUUACAUCUUUGUAUGAGGGUCUACAUGUAUUCCUUGUCAGACCCUUCAGACCACUAAAUACUUGUUCAACUCCCAUUACAUUAUUACUAAGGCCUUUCCAAAAAUAAGAACAGCAUUUCUCCAGGCUACCCAAUCAAAAUCCAUUUGUGUAUUUGACUAGGAUGUUAUUACUCCUACAGCACCCUGCCCCCCCCUCUCUCAAAGAAUUUUUUUUAAAAAAAAAUAAGAUCCAUGAGAUCCCUACACAAUAUUUCAAAAUCCCAACCAAACAGUUAUACGGCUGCUGCAAACUUUAAUUAUGUAACACUUCACAAUCUAAUCAUAAACUGAUAUCAUAUCCCUUACAAAUAACAUACAGCACAAUAUGCAUAUAGGUGCAAUACGAGAUGUAGACAAUCUUGCAGACACAAGGAAAAUGUUUUGCAGAAAUCUUGCAGCCCAUCAACACCAAAUCCCAUCUUUUUUGGAUAAAGUAAAUCACCUUGGAUAAGAAUCUGUUAUAUCUGAGAAAUUUGGUUGGGGAAGAACAAAAACAAGCCAAUCAAUUCUCUUAAAUUCCUCUUUUUUGUCCCUUUCAAUGUCAACCCUUGUCAUCCAGACAGUGAGUUCCAACAUCUUAGCAGGCCAUAAAAAAAGGUGCGGCUUAGCAUGGCAAGGUACAUGUCAUGUUAGCAUCUUACCGGAACACAGCACUAGGAUGAUGCUAGCCAUGUGCUUCUACUUGGGACACCACCAUGCAGUCUGUCCCAAUCACUGGCACCACACAUCACAAAAUAAAAGAAUACAUCCAUGACAAACUGGAAAGCAUAGCACUGACAUGAUUUUUAGAUCCUUGGCCAAAGAUGCUAAAGGAUUGUUUGGAUGAGUGGAUUUCCAAUCUGUUGAUAGCUUAGGUCAGCAGCUGCCACAAUCUCAAUGAAAAUAUUAUUAGUGUUGGCCUGGUGGAGGGAGACGGCCAAGCUCUUGCAAUCACUUAGCUUUUAAGAUAAUUUAUUCCAUCAGAAAGCCAGUUUACCUUAUCCCUAAACUUUAGGGAUUUGGGAGCCGCAAGGUUUCUCAGUCAGGCAAAAAACCCUCUCCUUACCCUGCUGAGCUAUUCCCUCUCUUAACCAUAAAGGGAACAUUCCAUGUAUAGCCUGAAAGAGCAUCCAAAGAACCCCUAAAUCUUAAAGUAGGCUCACUGCUAUAGAAUAUUUAUUGGAGUUGCCAAAGCUACCCAUUACUCCACAUCUUUAAUCUACAAACAUCACCUCUGUUGGAAAUCAAACAACUACAACAAAACAUAUUAUAUAUCAAGGGUUUUAUACCUAUCCCCAUACUGGUUUUGUCCCAGAACAGUAUGAUAUCAGUAUGCUCAGGAUGCAACAAGAUAGUAUCAACAAUAUCAAAAAGCAACCAGCAUGCAACUUGUAUGGUUGGUACAUAUUGCAGGUACACAACCAUUAUGGACCAUUUAAGAGGGAAUCAGUGUUCUGCACCCAUACUAGAAUCAUUUGUCUAUCACAACAUCGGCAGAACCAAUACCAGGCACUGUACCGGUUCUCUGAUGGGACAAAUCGGUAUGGACCCGCGUCGUGCCAUGUUGGGACUGUAUCGACACAGUAGAAGAGGCGGGGAAGAGGGAGAGUGAGAGAGGAAAAGAGAGAGAGAGGGGGAGGGAGGGAGGCCAGAGGAGGCCGAUGGAGAGCGGUGGAGGGCCGGUGGAGGCAACCGGAGGCCGGCGCCGAGGCAGCAAGGGGAAGCCGUGGCCGUCUUGCCGACUUCACUUAAAAAUCACGAAAUUAAAAGAGCGGCCGGACCCAUAUUUCGAACGAAACAGGGGAACGACCACGACUUCCCCUUGCUGCCUCUCCGCCGGCCUCCCUCCCUCUCCCUCUCCCUCUCCCUCCCUCCCCCGCUCGCUCUCUUUUUUCCUUCUCCUUCUCUACCUCCGGCAAUGGUUUUCAUUUCCAUUACCAGUACUAUACAGGUGGGCCGCCGAAACUGUACCGGUGGGCCGCCGGUACGGCUCGGAACAAUCGAAAUCAUCUGGUUCGGGACGGUUCUGCCGACCCGAAUAUAUCGUAAUGGUAUAGUGCUCAUGGUACCAUACCAAACUGGUAGUAUUUAAUCCUUGCGAUAUAUGCUUUCCAAGUUAAAAAAACCAUACAUAGAUUCUCGUCACUAAAUUUUUCACUGGUCACUAUAACAUAUGUUCCUGAUGAAAAGAUUAAAAGAAUCGAUCCUUGACUAUUAUUGUCAUCUUUCAAUCAAGGAUUAAAGUAUUAUUUGUUGUGCCCAUGCCAAACAUAGCUUCGCAUGGUAUGGGCAUGCAGUGCUGAAUUUUGAUGGCCACUUGCCCAACCAUGUAUAUGGGCUUGUGGCAAUCAAAAUGGGUCCCUGCCAAUUCAUGCUGCACUACCACAUACUAGCAUGAGCCUAUAUGGACUGACAUACAUACCCAUGCUGAUACAAGCACAACACGAUGCCCUAUUCCAUGCCUUCAACAUCAAUAUUCAAUCCUCCUUACCUAUAUCUUCAUAUUUUACCCCUAUGUCCUGUAAGGCAAUCCACCCGAUUUCGGAAACAACCUUUCUUCUUACAAAUACUAUAUUUUCCUUAUUUCAAGCUCUCACUAAAUAAAUUUUGUUAACCAAAUAAAAUCGAGUACUAGCCAUAAUUGAAUUCCUCAUUUUCCUAAACUUUCUUCUCAUUUAACAGCAAUUUCAGUGCUUGCUACUUCAGUCAUCUGAAAUAUAAGUGGUAAAUAUAUGGUUCCUCUAGUUCAGUCCUCCAGGUGUCCUUUCCAGUGGCUUCUAAAGAACGAAAAUAAUCUUACCAUCUUCAAUAAACCUCACUCCCUUCUCAAACGUAUACUGCCUUACACCCAAUGCACAUAAUUUGAUGUACUAGGAAAUUUUGUGCACAUGCAGUGCAUCUGUGCAUGUGCCAUUUGAUAGCUUAAUUUUGAUAUAGUUCAACAAUCAAACUGUCACUAAGUUAAAGAAUAGAAGUGGUAUGUCUUUCUAAGAUUCCUCUUAUUUUAAGAGCAAAAACUCUACAACCACAUAUUCAUAUGUAAUAAUGAUAUAUCUUCAACCAGAUUGCCUUUAAAAAAGUAUGCCAAACAAAACUACAAAAAAUAUAUAAAAAGUAUAGAUCAUAAGUAGUAAUGGUUCCAAAGAGCUAUCCAAAUAUAUUUUUAAAACUAAUGGAAAGUUGGAAUGAUCAAAGAAUAAAAGACACCAAUACUUUGAUACCACUUAUGAAUUCCAGAAACUUCUAUACCAGAAGUAUGGAAAUAAAGGAGGAAGGGAAAUUGAAAGACAUUAAAAAAAUAAAGGUUGCAUUAAUCAAAGAGAUCAUAGAACAGCAACAAUACUACCACUUACAUGUGGCCGAAUAUUGAGAAAAUUUAUAUAUGAGAACUAAUCUCCGAUUCAUAAAUCUAAAAUGAUGAAAAUUUUGGAAAUAUAAACAGAAGAGGCGCCUAUCAAAAAACAUAAAACAUGCUUAUGUACAUACAAACACAAAAAAAUAAAUGAUGAUGAAAUGAAAAUACCUUUUCUUUAGCUCGUGGUGUCCCUGACUGUGAUAAUGCUACUAGUGGUGGCACGGCACCUUCUUGGAGAACUUGAGUACAAAAUCUAUUGCUAUUUAUACAGAGUUGAAGCAAAGCUGCAGCAGCAUUUUCUUUCCCUCUUGCAGAUCCCAAUUCAACAACCUCCACAAGGGCAGGGAUUCCACCUAAAUGACCAAUUGCUCCCCUCCCUUCUGCUAUAGUCGCAAGGUUUGCCAAAACAGCCACAGCCUUAUCAACCAUGCCAGCAGCUGGGUCCAUCAGCUCUACUAAGUGCUUCACAGCCCCAGCCUGCACUAUACGAGCCUUGUUCUCAUGAAAUAUCGAUAAAUUAAACAAUGCUGUUGCAGCAUCUUUCUUUCCUCGAGGAGUCCCAUUUCCUAAUAAUUCAACCAGAGGUCCGAUAGCACCAGAUCGUCCAAUCCUAACCUUAUUGUCUUCAAUUACUGAAAGGCUAAAUAAGGUUGCAGCAGAGUUCUCUCUUGCUUCAGGAUUCCCUGCCUCAAGAACAUGGAUAAGAGGAUCAAUGGCACCAGCAUUUGCAAUGAUAGUCUUGUUGUUGUCAUUGAUCGAUAAGUUCAGAAGUGCUGUUACAGCAUUCUCCUGAGUCUUAGGGUCCGUUGAACGAAGCAGAUCAACUAACGAGCUUAUAGCUCCACAUUUUGCAAUUACAAUUCUAUUUUCCAUGUUGUGUUUAGCAAGAAAGCGCAGCUCUUCUGUAGCAGCUCUCUGCACAUCAACUGAAUCACUUUUCAAAUCCUCAAUCAGUUUUCGAACUUGGGUCUCAACACCAGAUAGGUCAGGCCUGGAAUCCAUAGAUGAAGAUGUUAUGAUCCUGGGGAUAGAUGACCGUCGAGAAAUGGUUUGGCUUCUAGAACGAGCCUCACCCAACCUUGGAGGGAAUUCUGGUUCUCUCUGAGGAGUGGAGGAAACCGGAGUCUCUCGUGUAACUUCUCCUGAGGUAUCACUGCUGUCAUGUGUAAGAUCACUGGAAACUUGUGACACCACAUUUGCAUCUCCAGUACCUGGAAGAUAAUCAUUACUUGAAACAGCACUUGAGGCUGAGACACUUCGGUUAUGGCCCUGUAACUGCUCAUCAACUACGGAGGCUUGAGAAUCCUGUUCGGGUUCGUUAGCAGUUUGGCCACCAGAAUCAACAUGCCUCUCUCCCAAGCUAGGUGAUAAUCUUGCAAUAUUUGCAUCACACCCAUUUGCAAUUUGCAAAGGUGCUGCCACAGGUAGGGAACUAUGUUGAGAAGACAAAGGCUUCUCGUGCAGAGAACUGUCUUUGAGGACUCCAUUGGACGAGUGCGAAUCCUUAUGUGAACUCACUAUACACCUGUCAGAUUCUGGUGAUCUUGGAUGGCUAGUCCUUGGAGAAUGACCAGAAUGAGGAACAUGGCAAUCAUUACUACUUGAAUCAAUGGGGCUAAGAAAAGAUGAAGGGUGAUUCAUAUUCACGAGUUUUACGGGAUGCGGAAGCUUGAUGUCAUUUGAUUCACACCAGUUGGCUAUUAAUGCCUUGACAGUAUAGUUGGGAAUCAAAUUAGUGUGACCGAGUGUUUGAUGCGUCUUGGGGCAAACAUUGAAACCUUGAUCAAGCCAUUUUCUAAUAAAAGCCCGCUCAUAUGUUUGGCCAGAUGCCACAAUCACCGGGUCAGACAUCAGUUCUAGGGAAAGUGGGCAGCAAAAAUCAGCAGGAAUCAGCACCCCAUUAAUGCUGUGCACCUGUUUUAUUUUAACCAGGCACUCAUGCAUAUGAGUGACAAGUGCAAUCAUAUGAUCAAUCUGUUCUACUUGGUUUUCGCCAUUGCCAACCUUCACUUUAAGCUUCUCAAGGGCAACAGCCUCCAUCAGCAAUUCUUGAUUAGAUGACAAGCUCAAAGAGUUUGAAAUUUUAUCCAAAUGCUCAGGCCUAGGAGUAAUCUUCUCCCUCUGAUCUCUUAAGGCCUCUUUGAUGACAUCUGAUAUCUGGUCAUUAUGCAUAUGCUGAGUUUUCUGCACACAAUGCUGAAAUGGUUGGUCCAAAGAAACCUCAAUCAAAAAACAGACAACGGAGCUAAAUAUAUCACGAUGAGAUGGAAGAAUAAAGAGCAGUUCAAGUUUCAUAUGUGUCUCAUUACCUCGAUAGAUGUUGAAGUAGAAGUAACUAUCACAGAUGGAAGCAGAGAAUUAAGUAGUUGGCAUACUUCAAUAGCAUAUUUUUGAAUAUUUGUUAUUAUGGAUUCAAUCUGCAAGACCUGGGAACAGCAAUUCAAAUUCCAGUUAGAAAAUAACAGCAUUGAUGAUUCUUUGGGCAUUACCAUAGCAACAUGCUCUUCAUUACACACAUAUCUCAUUGAAUUUAGCAUAUGAAAGCCAAUUGAUAGUGAUGUGUCAUUAAUGCAUGAAACGAAAGGUAUUGACAUUACUGAUAAAGUAACUUAACAUCAUAUAUCACUUAUGGAGGAUCUGAUCGGGUGGGGGCUACUUGAUGAUAGAGGAUCAAGCUGCCUAGAGCGCUGUAAAAGUAUAUAAAUAGUUGAACUUAAAAACAAGAAGUCUUUCUCCAAAAACACCAGCAGAAAAACAAAAUAUGAGCAUAUAACCUUCAGUCCUUAAUGACCUUAGAAGUUUUAACAAUCCUUACAUUUUGCAGAAGGUGUUUCUCAUGUUUUAAUAUUUUAUUUAGUAAAAACGAAUGGCUUCAAAAAUUACUCUAUAAUCCAGUUCCACAUUCUUCCAGCCCACGUUUAAAUAGCUUACUCUCCAAUUGCAGAGGUUAGAUACGCAAUCCAGUACUGUCCUCUUACAAGUUAAAAUUGUUAUCUAGCAAGUUAUAAUGAUGUUAGCUUUGUUUAGAGGAAGAAGGCGUUCAUAAAUAGCGAGCUCUAAAUUAACAAACUAAAUAUUUUACAUUUCCAACAUUGCUGCAGACAUGUCAAGCUUGGAGUUGAUAUGAAUCAAAACUAAAACCUGGGGGCAGAAUCUGGCUAAAAUUUCACUGUGUAAUCCAGGAAAAAACAUUUCCAGUUGAAUGGUGACAACAAUAACAUUAAAUGAAUUGUUCUGAACAAAUACAAUGAAGAAAUCAGCUUAUUAUGUGCACAGAACUUACCUUUCAUGCAAAGAGAGACAUCGAAAAGAUAACAGUCCAAAAAGUUAUUGGUAAGACACAUUUUUUAAUAACAGCAGCAAAUGAUUUCUUCCAGAAAAAAUAGGCUAAGUUUCCAAAACCAGGUCAAGGUGACAUACAAAAUAAACUUUACUCAUGGUAGGGUGCCAGCUCCCAAUAAGUUCUCUGGCUUCAUUGACAACACCAUCAAGUUCUUCCAACAGCUUAAUUAGAUUCCCAUCUGAUGAUAUCUCAGAAGCCACAGCUUGAUCAAGCACAGGUUUCAAACACUCCAAGAUUUCAUCAAUUUUCUGGAAGUAUCUUUGAACCAGCUCGGAUUUUAUAGAGUUACUAGAUGACAAAAGAUCAAAGCGUGCAAUGCUACUGAGCAGUGUCUUUAGCAAUGAUAUCUCCAUUACACCUGUUGCAAAAGCAAAAACAUGAGUAUACUUCAAAACAGUCAUGCAUCUGUAUAGAAACUUGUAACUCCCUCUUGGAACAAAAUAAGAACUUCCAGCUCCAGGAAAUUCUUACAAAAGGACAUCUGCACAACAAGUUUGAGUAAUUUAGUAUACCAAAAGAAGUUAUUUAUUUUUUGUAAUUCGUGUCUGAUGCCAUGAAUUCUGCUACUCACACUGAACUGGAAAGUGAAAUGAAUCUGAGGCAAAUGACAAAAAAAUUGUUAUAAAAUGUACAAUCAAGAGCCUCACAAAAUUGACAGUCAUGUAUGUUUGGUUUCAUCAACCUAAAUGGUAAAAACAGCAUCUAAUGAAGAGUAAUUUCCCAUCUAUCAAAAAAGAGUUAAGAACUAAUAUACAAUUUCUCUUAAGCAACCAUCAUAUACGUUUAUAACGCAUCAGAUAGUGUAUUUACUUGUUCUCUUGAGUAUUUAUAUGGUGGACUAUGGGUUGGCAUCCUCAGUGAAUUUAUUGUCUUUCAAGUUCAGUUGUUACUUUUAGAUUUCCUAAUUGUUAAUAACAUUUGUUAUAUAAAGCUGGUAGAAGUAGUCAUUUGGCUAGUUUUGCACCACUAUUCAAUGCAAACAUUUCCUAGACUCUCUCAUAUUAAAAAUUUCUUAGACAUCCACUUCCCUGCUUUUUCCCCCCAAUGCACUUGCCCAUCCACUGCUGGUUCAAGGCUUCAAGGCUCAAGCAACUAUAAGCUGGAUUUGUCACAAAGCUGAUAAAUAUAUAUAACCUAUAAGUUUGUUCUUUCCAUGUUGUAUAAAUUUUCUGGUGAGCUACAACAUGAUAAUGAUUUACCAUUCUUGAUUGUUUUUAACUACGAUAUCAAUGAUCUUUUGUAAUUCCUGAACCAUUCACCACUUUAGCUUUCAGUGGGAUUGUUAUUAGGAAUUUUUAUUGAUUAAAAAUUAAUAUUUUCUUUUUGAAGCAAUUUUUAUCACAAAUUUUUCAUGGAUCAUUAUCCUUCAUAAAGUAUGAAAAAUUCUUAUUCCGAGUUCAAGAAAAAGAAGUGAUUUCUCCUAAAUCUAUACCCAUAAGGAAAAGAGAAAAAGCAUUUUGCUGGCACCGCAAAUGGUUAGUUGCUCAACCAUUGAACAUAUUCUAGGGGGAAAGAAUAAGAUUUCACUCAUCAAGUGCUGAACUUCAAGAAAAGAAGUGAUUUCUCUCCUAACUUCCUAUCCUUAAGAAAGGGAAGAAAAGCAUUUGGUUGGCAUUUGGCAAAUCGUUAGUUGUGUGACCAUCGAGCAUAUGCUAGAGGGAAAAGAAUAGGGUUGCACUCAUCAAGUGCUCAACCCCAUUUGUGGUUGGUUUUUUUUUUUUUUUUGGGGGGGGGGGGGGGGGGGGGGGUAUGCUCAAUGUACAUCUGAAAAUUGUUCUCAGAUUUGCAGUCAUCCUCAUAUUAUGCAUUACACAAUCUUGUACCAUAAUCAAUAUCCAAUCACAUCAUUGUAGGUUAUUGAUGACACAGGAAUCAAUCCUUAAAUUAGUAGACUAAAAAACCAUACAAGAUCAAGGUUUACAGUGGAAAGCUUCAAGUUCCCUGACAUCCAUUUCCAGAGUUCGGAUGCUUAAUUAUGCGGGUAAAGAUCUGAUUAUUUUAGCCAAGCAUCAAAAUUGUUCCUUCACAUAGCUGUUAGUGUUACCUUUUUUAAUAUCUAUUGGAUAUAUUGAUGCAAAAUUAUAAUCUUUUGUCUCACUGCGAUUAUUAAACAGCAAUUCCUACGCUCUCCACAUCUUGCACUUUUUUUAAUGCUUGCAAAAAAUGUUUUGCGAGCAGUUCUUCCCAUUUGCUCCCUCUCUAACUCUCAUUAUGAUAUCAUGGAAAGGUUUAUAGAAUAACGCACUUGUCCAUUCGAAUGUCAUCUAUCUCAAAACCUUUAAAAGUAUAAAACUUAAGAAAGCUGAUUUUUGAAGAGGUCAAAUGGUUGAAAUAGUUUAACAGGCUUAAGGAUGUAAUUUUAGAUCAUGGAAACUUUAUAACUCAUCUUUGCAAUGCUUUCCACAUGCUUGCCCCCCCAUCACUAUCCCACUUGAACCCUCCAAUGCUCAUUCUUUGUCCUAAACCGCUCUUGAUCCGACUUCCAAAUAUUUGCACUCUUUCUCUCUCCCUGUGUGUGUCUAUAUGUGCACAUGCACUUAAAAAUACAUCCUACCAAUGGACAAAGUAUCAAGUGGUAGUCCACAUAUAUAACCAGGAGGAAUUAACAAUCAAAUUUGUGCCACAGAUUUUCAAACUAUCAUUGAAAUACAAGAACCAAGAGCAUCACUUAUAGUCAAAAUAAGCUGAAAAGAUAAGCUUCUCCAAAGCAUCAUGUCUUAUUUUGGCGUGUCAAGGCCUAGGGGUUAUAAAUGAUAUUCCUUGUCUUUAUUUCGUGUUUGAAAUAUAUAGAAAAGAUAAAAUUAGGGGUUAUGUGUAGAGUUCUAAUAUCUGAGUGCUUAAUUUCUAAUCGAGGCCAUUAACUCUGGAGAUUAUCUUCUUAGAUGAAUAUCAUAUUGUGCCUUUUCCCCUUAUUGCAUUAUGGUAUAUCAAGCGAACACACCCAUUUUAUAUCUUGUCAAAGUGUUCGGUAAUGCAUCUGAAAAAUGUUUCUAUCAGAAUAACAGAGUUUGGUGUUUGUAAAUUAACAUUUAAAUCUUCUCAAAUUUCAGUUGCACAUACCUAUCUCAUAUCCUUGAUUGACCGCCACUUAUGGUCAUCAAAUUUCAAUUCAUAUAGAUCAAAGUUUUGAAUAAGACCAUGACUUAUGAAUCAAUUAUCACUACAAUAGCGACGAAUAUAGACUACAAAAUGCCAACAGGCCAAUAAGUACAAAAUCUCAUAUAAUCAAAUAUGAACCGCAGGACCGCACAAACGAACAGAUUUGGAUACAGACAUCAAAAUUUUCAAGACGCCCUCCCAACAGCAAAGGGACCAAAACCCUACUCUACCAAUGCUAACACCCUCACAAAUUCUAAGCACAACCAUAAUUCCAAUAUCAACGCGUAGCUAAUUCUACCAGAAAUCCCAUAUCCUGGCGUGUAAGCAAACUACUUGCCAUUCAAAAUUUAAAAGAAAAAAAUCAACAAAAUCCCAUCAAGUUAGCCUAAGACGAACCAGAGACCCUAUAUAUCCAACGAAACCAUCAAGAAGAGGGCUCGACACCCCCAAAAAUCAUUCUUUCAUAACGAUUUCAAGGUUUCAAUUCAAAUGAACGAGAAAAGCACCCUGACCCUCCAGCUAAACCAUUUCCCCAGUCAAAAAGUCAGGAAAAAAAAAUAUAAAAAUCUGAUUAAUUUCCCAC
rnacentral:lncRNA from 1 species